UGGGGAAUAUUGGACAAUGGGCGAAAGCCUGAUCCAGCGACGCCGCGUGGGUGAUGAAGGCCUUCGGGUUGUAAAGCCCUUUCAGUAGGGAAGAUAAUGACGGUACCUACAGAAGAAGCUCCGGCUAACUUCGUGCCAGCAGCCGCGGUAAUACGAAGGGAGCUAGCGUUACUCGGAAUUACUGGGCGUAAAGCGUGCGUAGGCGGUUUUGUAAGUCAGAAGUGAAAGCCUAGGGCUCAACCUUAGAAUUGCUUUUGAUACUGCAUGACUAGAAUAUUAGAGAGGAUGGCGGAAUUCCUAGUGUAGAGGUGAAAUUCGUAGAUAUUAGGAGGAACAUCGGAAGCGAAGGCGGCCAUCUAGCUGAUUAUUGACGCUGUUGCACGAAAGCGUGGGGAGCAAACAGG
rnacentral:rRNA from 1 species